rnacentral:rRNA from 1 species
ACGGAGGUUGCAAGCGUUGUUCGGAAUUACUGGGCGUAAAGGGAGCGCAGGCGGUUGGGUAAGUCUGAAGUGAAAGUCCGAGGCUUAACCUCGGAAGGGCUUUGGAUACUGCCCGGCUUGAGUACGUGAGAGGAGAGCGGAAUUCCAGGUGUAGCGGUGAAAUGCGUAGAUAUCUGGAGGAACACCGGUGGCGAAAGCGGCUCUCUGGCACGAAACUGACGCUGAGGCUCGAAAGCGUGGGGAGCAAACGG